GUUUUAUUUAGAUCCACUGCACAUCAGAUAUCGGGCCUUACCUUUUCUUGGAUACCAGAUCCAGAUCCAGGUUACCCAUGAAGGCCCAUUAGCAGUGCUGAAAGUUUGACCAAUUUGGAGACCAACAGAAAUUUAGAUCCUGCCCCGGAAGAACGCCAACUAUAUACGAGUCUGCAGAGAUGGAGGCUGGAGGACUCAACUUAGCCAGGAGUCUUUUUCAGAGUUAAUCACGUCUCUAAGGGCAGGGGGGCGGUCGAGCGGAGGAAACCAAAGCCAGAAGCAGCUCGCUAUGGCAAGUGCAGCGGAGGCAGGUGCCAUCUGGUCGCCCUCACCUCAGCGGCGAGCGGGAGAAGAGGACGAGGCUGGCUGGCUCAGGUGGGGAAAAAUUGUGGACGUUUUAAAGUUAUAUGAGUGUUUCUUAAACAAAGACAAAGUAUUUGGUUCCCUCUACAUUUCUGAGAGCAGGG